rnacentral:lncRNA from 1 species
AGGCAGGACAGGUCCCGGUGGCUGAGCCGCCUCCCCCCACCUCGUGCCUAACCACGCACAAGUGGAUUUGGUCCUGGAAGCACACACCCCCUCCGGAGGUGCCAUGGGCUCCAUCUGAAGGUCAGAGAGGGGACAGUGGCCAAGGCCAUCUGGAAAGUGCCGCGGCAAGGGUUCAAACCCUGUCGGCCUGAUUGCAAAGGCCCUGUCGCCCAGCGUGGGACCCAGCAACCGGCGCUGUCCAGAGACCCCGGUCCUUGGCCCCUGCACAGGCUUGGCACGGAACACGUGCUGGAUACGCAGUCAGCCUCCUUCCUUGUCCUCCUUCCGCCAUCAUGUGACCUUGGUCCCACCGUUCUCUGUUUCCAGGCCUCAGUUUCCCCAUCUGCAGAGAGAGGGGGUUGUCCUAGGGGUGCCCUGGCUCCCCUGGAAGCCUCCAGUACCUUAGAUUUCCACUGGGGAAGCCAGGAAGGGCAGAGCCCCGCUGGACCAGACUCGGGCCCCCACCCCGGAAUCGCCCGACACCCCUGACUCUGGCGGGGGGAGGCCCCCACCGGGCCGGCCGGAGCCCCCAGCGCCUUGAAAAGCCUCUGGCCUCCCCCUCCCCGCCAACGCCCGACCCGCGAGCUGCGCAGGGAACGAGGGGGAGCGCCGGCGAGCGCGCAGCGAGAGUGGGGGAGAAAUGCAAAUGCGUUUUAUCCUCCUUUCUUUUAAAUGCUGAAACCAGCCUUGACAGCCUCUGAAAAUAAAUGGCACCGACUCGCUGGGAUUUCAAAUUCCGUGAUUAAGGGCUGAAGCAAAUACUUUUUCCCUCCCUCCCCCGCCGCCCUCCCUCCGUGGGCUGAUAGAGCGGCGGCGGGCCGGGGACAGCUUUUUGCGAGCCUGCCAGGAGCUCUGAUACGCAGCCUCCCGCCCGGCUGCGCGGCGGCUCGGCUCCGGGCUGUUUAUCACGAGCGCUCACGCCGGCAGCCGCGAAAGCAGCUUUAAAUCCCCUGCCCGGCCUCGGCGCCCCCUCCUCCCGCCGGCACGCACGCCGCGGUCAGGCACGCGCGCGCGCGCACACACACACACACUCACACGCACAACAUAAGGCACACGCAUGCACGUGUGCACCUAACGCACACCGCACGAUGCACACACGCACGCGUGCACACACCCUCAGAAAAACAUGCAUGUUAUGGGAGCACGCAUACGUGUGCACACUGGCACAUAUGCACACACGUGAACACCCGGC